GUUUCAGUCACGACAAGGCCUUUCUCGAUUGUGCUAGUGAAACUGGCAUUUAAUGCUACUAGAAAUUCC